rnacentral:rRNA from 1 species
AUGGCACUGCCCGGUAGCUAAAUGCGGAAGAGAUAAGUGCUGAAAGCAUCUAAGCACGAAACUUGCCCCGAGAUGAGUUCUCCCUGACUCCUUGAGGGUCCUGAAGGAACGUUGAAGACGACGACGUUGAUAGGCCGGGUGUGUAAGCGCAGCGAUGCGUUGAGCUAACCGGUACUAAUGAACCGUGAGGCUUAACCUUACAACGCCGAAG